CCGUGGUCAACUGAUGGUGGUGCACCAACGCCACUUUUCUGUUCGUAGCUCAAGUGGAUGCAGUUUACAAGAUUCGAGAGCAUGUGUCAAUGAACGAUCAAACAAAGCAAAGACAAGUUGGAUGAAGACCAAAAAGUGGUCCAAGAGAAUAACAAUGACACAUUGACGACAUGUCUGCUUUGCUUUAAUCGCACCACGUCCCUCCUCAUCCUGGUCGGACCCUUUUGAUGCCUAAAGCCCUCCAGGCCACUUGUGAUUCAGCAGCACUUCAGCGGCCACUCCGGCCUGCUCACCCCCGGGGUCCUGCUUGUCCCUCUCAAGGAAAACACCAGCCAUCUGGUCUCGCAUGGGAUCUUUUUCUCCCCCGCAGGACCAUAGGGGUGAAGGUGGAGGAGGUCGUUGUUGUUGCUCUACAGCCGUUUUAGCGGCAGAUGGCAGACGAGGGUCGGCCCUCCGGCCUGUCUACCUGCUGCCAAUCAUACAUAAUCAGACAAGUAUUGAAGGACUUCCAAGCUGCCAAGUCUCUGUCAGAUUAUUCCUCGCCUUGCUCAUGAUUUUGUAUUUAAGUGUUGAAUUUUGUAGACAAUCUCUCUCCUUCACGCCACAUAUUUUCACGCCUUGUUUUUGCAUUUGUCAUUGUAAGUAUUUUUGUUGUUAAGCUUCGUCUCGGUUUUGUAUCUUCUUGUCUGUUCACGACAAGCUAUGUCCAUUUAUAUUAUCAAGCGUUUUGGGGUUGUUUUGUUUUCCUGGUUAUUGUAACCAGCGUCAUUUGUUAUAUGUUGGCGGCCUCGCAU